rnacentral:rRNA from 1 species
AUUGAACGCUGGCGGCAGGCCUAACACAUGCAAGUCGAGCGGAUGAGGAAAGCUUGCUUUUCGAUUCAGCGGCGGACGGGUGAGUAAUGCCUAGGAAUCUGCCUGUUAGUGGGGGAUAACUCGGGGAAACUCGGGCUAAUACCGCAUACGUCCUACGGGAGAAAGUGGGGGAUCUUCGGACCUCACGCUAACAGAUGAGCAUAGGUCGGAUUAGCUAGUAGGUGAGGUAAUGGCUCACCUAGGCGACGAUCCGUAACUGGUCUGAGAGGAUGGUCAGUCACACUGGAACUGAGACACGGUCCAGACUCCUACGGGAGGCAGCAGUGGGGAAUAUUGGACAAGGGGCGAAAGCCUGAUCCAGCCAUGCCGCGUGUGUGAAGAAGGUCUUCGGAUUGUAAAGCACUUUAAGUUGGGAGGAAGGGUAUUCACCUAAUACGUGGGUACUUUGACGUUACCAACAGAAUAAGCACCGGCUAACUCUGUGCCAGCAGCCGCAGUAAUAC